rnacentral:other from 1 species
AAAGCUCUGGGAUGCGCGACAACGGCUAUUGACGCGUUGACCAACAUUAAGGGCAGAGUCCUCUUCGUAAGUUCGUGGUGAGCAUGCCCGUUGUGACUGCGGGAAGCCUGAAGCGGACUUCAGGGACAAGCUUCGGUUUCGGGGUCAAGACAUCAAGGCUGGUGGCGGCAUCCUGGAGCUCGU